rnacentral:rRNA from 1 species
ACGAACGCUGGCGGCGUGCUUGACACAUGCAAGUCGAACGAAGAGCGAUGGAAGCUUGCUUCUAUCAAUCUUAGUGGCGAACGGGUGAGUAACGCGUAAUCAACCUGCCCUUCAGAGGGGGACAACAGUUGGAAACGACUGCUAAUACCGCAUACGAUCUAAUCUCGGCAUCGAGGAUAGAUGAAAGGUGGCCUCUACAUGUAAGCUAUCACUGAAGGAGGGGAUUGCGUCUGAUUAGCUAGUUGGAGGGGUAACGGCCCACCAAGGCGAUGAUCAGUAGCCGGUCUGAGAGGAUGAACGGCCACAUUGGGACUGAGACACGGCCCAGACUCCUACGGGAGGCAGCAGUGGGGAAUCUUCCGCAAUGGACGAAAGUCUGACGGAGCAACGCCGCGUGAGUGAUGACGGCCUUCGGGUUGUAAAGCUCUGUUAAUCGGGACGAAAGGCCUUCUUGCGAAUAGUGAGAAGGAUUGACGGUACCGGAAUAGAAAGCCACGGCUAACUACGUG